AUAUGUGGAGCUAGUGUGAUAGUACACAUUCGGAGGCAGCGAGAAGGGAAAAACACUAGCUCAGGAAGCAGACUAUAUUAAGGCAAUCUCUUGCUAAUAAACAGCUUCGGCUUCGCCGUGCAUGAAUACGGAGUCCCUCUCAUGAAUCACCACAUCAUCCUACUACCAAGAAGAACAAGCCUGAAGUUUUUCUACAUAUUUUUGCAUUUUGCCUAUGACUGAUGUGCUCAUGCCAAGUUCUGCAGUCUGGGCAAUGAAAUUGCAGUGAUAAUCUCUAGAUCCUCCCCUCUUGGAGGGAAAAACAAGAAAGAGGAAAAAAUACAUCAGCUGAGCUAUCUGGGAUCAAAAGCAAUGGAAACAUAAACUGGUAUAUAGAAAAACAAUGCAACAGGAUCUCAUAAUUAAAGCAAAACCAAGCUGGGAUGAUCACUAGGUGAAAAAUUCAGGUAUUUGAACUCUGGACUGGAGCAUGAUGAGACCAUCAGAAGCAGCAAUCUACCUAAGCAAAUUACUUCUCGGCUUACUGCUGUGCCUAGUCAUAGCAUCAAAUCUUAGUGAUUUGAACACUUUCUACUAAAAAUAACGGAAAUCCAAAAAUUCAUAAUCUUGUGACAGGUGAAAGGGAACAUAGCAUACAGAGAGCCUAGAAUUUAAUGACAGUCCUAUUAAUGUUUUAAGACUGAUACUUAAAAUUAUCAGUACUGAAAAGCAAUUAUAUUAAUAUUGUUAAAAUGGUUAUACCAAAAAUUGCCCUAAGCCUUGCCAGUAUCUAACCCUUCCCACUGGUGGUGUGCUCAUGCUUCAAAUGUCCCUAUGGGUCUAAAGUGUGACACUAUGGUUUUCUCCCAGUAACUGUAAAUAGGGGGUGGAGGGAGGGGCAUUGCAAGGAUUUGCCAGCAUCAUGAUGUCUUUGCCAAGACAACUGUAAUGUGCCUGGUGGGGAAUUUCUUUCCUCUCUGUCUGAAGGAACAUGAUGUUGAUAUUUUCUUCUUCCCUAUUCUUGGGCUCUGCUUGGGUUUCCCUUUACACCUUUCCCUGUCACAGCCCGUUUCCUUCUCCUGGGCUGCCAGCUGCAGCCUGGCGGUGGCUGCCAGCACCCCAGCCUCACGUACACGAAGGGCUAUGGUUUGCCCAGCAGUGACUGCUGGGCGGGAUGUCACCCCCUCCCCAGAGGGGCCAUCCCCAGGGGUGAAGCUGGAGCAGGGCAGGCAGCAGUCACUGGGGCCAGUGCAGGCAUUAAACCAGCAACACCCUGCUCAGGCCACGGCAAAGCUGAGCCCCUGCGCUGCUGGGUAAGGGCACAGCUGGGGCCUCCCCCUGCUGAGGGCAGAAAUCAUAUUUACUGAAUUACAAAACCAUAAAAUCAAGCUAUACCUAAAUAUAUCGCAGUUUAGAAUUAUCAUUCAGUUCAUAGAUUAAUAAACUUACAAAAAGGGAUGGAGAGCAAGAUAAAACUGAAGACAGUGCAAGAAAAAUCUAUCAAUUCAUGUCUGAAUAUUGGAAACAUCAUGACAAAAAUGUCAGAGUUGUCAAUAUUGCCAGAGGAGGACACAUUGUAGCUGGGCAAGCUGCAAAUAUCAAUUCAAUAUUUACAACAUUUUAACUUUGAUUUUAAGAACAUAAGGUUUUGUAUGAGUAAUUACUUUAUUAAAAUUGAGAAAAACAUUUAAAACUAAAAGAUAACUGAAAACUUGGAAGACAAAUUUCUAAGAAGCAAAGUACCUCUAAUUUGAACUAAUACAGUUCAGUACAGAGAAAAGAACUGUAUUGGUAUGCUGCACUGCAUAUAUAAUGUAUAUAUUUCAUACAUUCCGUAUAUAUUAGUACGAACACACAGUGUCUUACAGAGAAAUACCCAUGGUUCUUUCAGUACAGUCAUUGUUUAUUAGCCAUUUUAAUUUUACCACUGUAAUACAAAAUGGAGUGUAAAAACAAAAUUAAAAUAAGGGAAAAUUGGAGAGCUGUACUAUAUGGUAAAAGCAUCAAGAAAAUUACAUUCUAGCAUCCUCUAAAAUAAUAUAAGCAUAGUUUUGUCUAAAAAAAAUCUAUUCACAUUUACCUCCUUAACACUCUAUAACCUGAAUGCCUCCAGAAUAUACUAAUAUUAUUGUUACUACAGCUUUUGAUUUUCUUCUCUAUUAGGCAUGUUUUAUGUAGUCUGUAAUGGUCUUAUUUAAAAAUGAAGCAGUUAUGCAUUUUUACAGUCAAAUGAUAAUAAAAGUCAAAGUUCAC